GGUGGUUCUUGGGUGAUGCACCCCAGAAUCAGUCUCCCUCCUUUCUGGUUCCAGGUGAGUCACCCAAGAACCGCA
rfam:Myotis davidii contig30569, whole genome shotgun sequence.